AGGACGAACGCUGGCGGCGUGCUUAACACAUGCAAGUCGAACGAUGAUGGGACUGCUUCGGUGGUUUUGAUUAGUGGCGAACGGGUGAGUAACACGUGAGUAACCUGCCCUUCACUCUGGGAUAAGCCUUGGGAAACGGGGUCUAAUACUGGAUAUUACUUGAGCCCGCAUGGGUUCGGGUGGAAAGUCUUUUGUGGUGGAGGAUGGGCUCGCGGCCUAUCAGCUUGUUGGUGAGGUGAUGGCUUACCAAGGCGACGACGGGUAGCCGGCCUGAGAGGGUGACCGGCCACACUGGGACUGAGACACGGCCCAGACUCCUACGGGGAGGCAGCAGGUGGGGAAUAUUGCACAAUGGACGGGAAGUCUGAUGCAGCGACGCCGCGUGGGGGAUGAAGGCCUUCGGGUUGUAAACCUCUUUCGUCAGGGAAGAAGCCUUUUGGGGUGACGGUACCUGGAGAAGAAGCACCGGCUAACUACGUG
rnacentral:rRNA from 1 species